UGGGAACGUGCCCUUCGCUUCAGGAUAGUCCCGGGAAACUGGGUUUAAUACUGGAUACGCCGUGUUGGGAAAGAUUUAUCGGCGAAGGAUCGGCCCGCGUUAGAUUAGCUAGUUGGCGGUGUAAUGGACCACCAAGGCUACGAUCUAUAGCUGGUCUGAGAGGAUGAUCAGCCACACUGGGACUGAGACACGACCCAGACUCCUACGGGAGGCAGCAGUGGGGAAUCUUGGACAAUGGGCGAAAGCCUGAUCCAGCCAUGCCGCGUGAGUGAAGAAGGCCUUAGGGUUGUAAAACUCUUUCGCCGGUGAAGAUAAUGACGGUAACCGGAGAAGAAGCCCCGGCUAACUUCGUGCCAGCAGCCGCGGUAAUACGAAGGGGGCUAGCGUUGUUCGGAAUUACUGGGCGUAAAGCGCACGUAGGCGGGUUUGUAAGUAGGGGGUGAAAUCCCAGGGCUCAACCCUGGAACUGCCUUCUAGACUGCAAGCCUGGAGGUCAGGAGAGGCGAGUGGAAUACCGAGUGUAGAGGUGAAAUUCGUAGAUAUUCGGUGGAACACCAGUGGCGAAGGCGACUCGCUGGACUGAUACUGACGCUGAGGUGCGAAAGCGUGGGGAGCAAACAGGAUUAGAUAC
rnacentral:rRNA from 1 species